GUGCCAGCAGCCGCGGUAAUACGUAAGUCCCGAGUGUUACCCGGAAUCAUUGGGUGUAAAGGGUUUGUAGGCGGAAAGAUAGGUUGGAUAUUAAAGACCGGGGCUCGACCUCGUGUUUGUGUUCAAAACUGUCUAUCUAGAAUUAGGGAGAGGUAAGCGGAAUUCUAAGUGUAGGAGUGCAAUCCGUAGAUACUUAGAGGAACACCAAAAGCGAAGGCAGCUUACUGGAACUAUAUUGACGCUGAUGAACGAAAGCGUGGGUAGCGAAAAGGAUUAGAUACCCUUGUAGUCCACGCCCUAAACGAUGAUAACUAAGUGUUGGGACUAGAUCUCAGUGCUGAAGCUAACGCAUUAAGUUAUCCACCUGAGGAGUACGGUCGCAAGAUUAAAACUCAAAGGAAUUGACGG
rnacentral:rRNA from 1 species